CCUACGGGUGGCAGCAGUGAGGAAUAUUGGUCAAUGGGCGAGAGCCUGAACCAGCCAAGUCGCGUGAAGGAUGAAGGAUCUAUGGUUUGUACACUUCUUUUAUAUGGGAAUAAAGUGAGGAACGUGUUACUUUUUGUAUGUACCAUAUGAAUAAGCAUCGGCUAACUCCGUGACAGCCGCCGCGGUAAUACGGAGGAUGCGUGCGUUAUCCGGAUUUAUUGGGUUUAAAGGGUGCGUAGGUGGGUAGUUAAGUCAGCGGUGAAAGUUUGGGGCUCAACCAUAAAAUGGCCGUUGAAACUGGUUGACUUUAGUAUAGUUGAGGUAGGCGGAAUGCGUGGUGUAGCGGUGAAAUGCAUAGAUAUCACGCAGAACUCCGAUUGCGAAGGCAGCUUACUAAACUAUAACUGACACUGAAGCACGAAAGCGUGGGGAUCAAACAGGAUUAGAUACCCGAGUAGUC
rnacentral:rRNA from 1 species